CUCUUCCGAUCUGUUUCCCAGUCACGAUAGAGAGCGAGCGGCGGACGGGUGAGUAACGCGUAGGGAUCUAUCCUGUAGAGGGGGACAACCCGGGGAAACUCGGGCUAAUACCGCAUACGUAAGAGAUUAGAAAGGUGGCCUCUAUAUAUAAGCCAUCGCUAUAGGAAGAACCUGCGUCUGAUUAGCUAGUUGGUGGGGUAAAGGCCUACCAAGGCGACGAUCAGUAGCUGUUCUGAGAGGAAGAUCAGCCACACUGGGACUGAGACACGGCCCAGACUCCUACGGGAGGCAGCAGUGGGGAAUAUUGGACAAUGGGGGCAACCCUGAUCCAGCAAUGCCGCGUGUGUGAAGAAGGCCUGCGGGUUGUAAAGCACUUUUGUUGGGGAGGAAAGGAUGAUGAGUAAUAUGCAUUAUCUGUGACGUUACCCGAAGAAAAAGCACCGGCUAACUCUGUGCCAGCAGCCGCGGUAAUACAGAGGGUGCAAGCGUUAAUCGGAUUUACUGGGCGUAAAGGGCGCGUAGGCGGAUAUUUAAGUCGGAUGUGAAAGCCCUGGGCUUAACCUGGGAACGGCAUACGAAACUGAGUAUCUGGAGUGCGGUAGAGGGAAGUGGAAUUUCCAGUGUAGCGGUGAAAUGCGUAGAUAUUGGAAAGAACACCGGUGGCGAAGGCGGCUUCCUGGACUGACACUGACGCUGAGGCGCGAGAGCAUGGGUAGCGAACAGGAUUAGAUACCCUGGUAGUCCAUGCUGUAAACGAUGAGUACUAGCUGUUUGGGCAUGAUAUCGUGACUGGGAA
rnacentral:rRNA from 1 species